ensembl:lncRNA
AAAAUGGGCUGGAGCUGGGUUCUGGUCUUGGACACCGGCAGGUUCUCCCUCCCCCUUGGCCCUCCCCCAGGUCUCUCGGGACAAAUGCUGGACCCAGAAGCCCAGUUCCCGGACCUGGGAGAGGAUGUCUCCUUCUCCAGGCCCCACCCCUCGCCGCCCUGUGGUCCUCAGUCUGGAUAGACCCUCAGCCUGGGACCUUCAGCCUGGGUGGACUCUCAGCCUGGAUGGACCCUCAGCCUGGAUGGACCCUCAGCCUGGGACCCUCAGCCUGGGUGGACCCUCAGCCUGGGUGGACCCUCAGCCUGGGUGGACUCUCAGCCUAUGAUCUUCUGGAGGAGCUCCAGGGGCCCCAGCAAGAUGCUUGGCUUCCAUGACACGUGCUCCGAAGUCCCUGGUGAUGGGGCCUGCUCCAGAGAGAGAUGACAAUUUGGCUCAGAGAGUUGAGAGGACUCUGCCCAGGAUCACACCCCUGGCUCCCUCCAGGAACGGCAGGUCACAGUGAGGAGUCCAGCAUGUGGGAGAAUCUCCAACCAGACGGGUGCCUCUGCUGUGUUGGGAGAUUUAUGUCAUCCAAUAGUCACUCAACAAACACCCCAGGCAUGAAGCAGAGAGUCUGUGUCAUGGCAGGAAAGGGGUAGUCUUUGCCCAGAGACUGCUGUCACCAGGAAGCCUGACCUUUCCUUAGGACAGCAGGAGGUGGGAACUCAGUGUCUUUCAGGCCUCUGUGACCAAGCAGACCUGCUCCCCUGGGCUGGCCUGAGGGUGGCUGUGGAGGGGUGGGGCCCGGCGCUGGUGGACCCAGGACCUCGUGAGGGGCAGGUGGGAAGCAGAGUGCUGGAUUCUGAGCCCAGGGGCAGCCCGGGCAGGACAGGUCAGGAGGAGAGGGGCUGCUCAGGCUUCCUGGGGGGCUGGUUCUCCAGCUCUUUGCAGACCAGCAGGAACCCUCACGACCACCAAGAAAGUGUGCUGCUCUCUGAGGCGGGAGCCUGGGGAGGGCAGGGGCUGAUCCAGCCCGCUUACCACGCUCCCCUGCACCUGUCGCUAGGCUGUCCCAGUAAAUACGCGCUCAGUGAAGAUGUGGGGAGGAGAUUUGUGUCCCGUGUCCCCAAAUUCCCCCCAGAGCCCAAGAUCCAGAGAGGCCUUUUCUCUGUCCCUUGCCCCCGGUGGGGGACCUGCUGAGAGCAGAGCCAGAAGCAACGGGCUGGAGGCCUCACAGGUAGCCUAGAGCUGCCCCUGCGGUGGGGAACCGGCCCGGGGCGCUGGGGUGGGAGGAACAUGGCGGGGAUGGUGAUGGGCUGGGGGCCCGAGGGGGCUGGAGGGGGUCGCCUGCAGGAAACCUGGUGGAGGUCAGAGGAGGAG